rnacentral:rRNA from 1 species
GACGAACGCUGGCGGCGCGCCUAACACAUGCAAGUCGAACGAGAGAUGAGGAGCUUGCUCUUCAAAUCGAGUGGCGAACGGGUGAGUAACGCGUGAGGAACCUGCCUCAAAGAGGGGGACAACAGUUGGAAACGACUGCUAAUACCGCAUAAGCCCACGGCUCGGCAUCGAGCAGAGGGAAAAGGAGCAAUCCGCUUUGAGAUGGCCUCGCGUCCGAUUAGCUAGUUGGUGAGGUAAUGGCCCACCAAGGCGACGAUCGGUAGCCGGACUGAGAGGUUGAGCGGCCACAUUGGGACUGAGACACGGCCCAGACUCCUACGGGAGGCAGCAGUGGGGAAUAUUGCACAAUGGGGGAAACCCUGAUGCAGCGACGCCGCGUGGAGGAAGAAGGUCUUCGGAUUGUGAACUCCUGUUGUUGAGGAAGAUAAUGACGGUACUCAACAAGGAAGUGACGGCUAACUACGUGCCAGCAGCCGCGGUAAAACGUAGGUCACAAGCGUUGUCCGGAAUUACUGGGUGUAAAGGGAGCGCAGGCGGGCGAUCAAGUUGGAAGUGAAAUCCAUGGGCUCAACCCAUGAACUGCUUUCAAAACUGGUCGUCUUGAGUAGUGCAGAGGUAGGCGGAAUUCCCGGUGUAGCGGUGGAAUGCGUAGAUAUCGGGAGGAACACCAGUGGCGAAGGCGGCCUACUGGGCACCAACUGACGCUGAGGCUCGAAAGUGUGGGUAGCAAACAGGAUUAGAUACCCUGGUAGUCCACACCGUAAACGAUGAUUACUAGGUGUUGGGAGAUUGACCCUCUCAGUGCCGCAGUUAACACAAUAAGUAAUCCACCUGGGGAGUACGACCGCAAGGUUGAAACUCAAAGGAAUUGACGGGGGCCCGCACAAGCAGUGGAGUAUGUGGUUUAAUUCGACGCAACGCGAAGAACCUUACCAAGUCUUGACAUCCCUUGACGAUGCUGGAAACAGUAUUUCUCUUCGGAGCAAGGAGACAGGUGGUGCAUGGUUGUCGUCAGCUCGUGUCGUGAGAUGUUGGGUUAAGUCCCGCAACGAGCGCAACCCUUAUGGUCAGUUACUACGCAAGAGGACUCUGGCCAGACUGCCGUUGACAAAACGGAGGAAGGUGGGGAUGACGUCAAAUCAUCAUGCCCUUUAUGACUUGGGCUACACACGUACUACAAUGGCGUUAAACAAAGAGAAGCAAGACCGCGAGGUGGAGCAAAACUCAGAAACAACGUCCCAGUUCGGACUGCAGGCUGCAACUCGCCUGCACGAAAGUCGGAAAUUGCUAGUAAUCGUGGAUCAGCUUGCCACGGUGAAUACGUUCCCGGGCCUU